UUCCCGAUAGCUCAGUCGGUAGAGCGCCGGACUGUUAAUCCGUAGGUCCCUGGUUCGAGCCCAGGUCGGGGAGCCA
rnacentral:tRNA from 2 species